rnacentral:lncRNA from 1 species
GCAUUCCAAUGCAAUCUAAAGAAUGCCCACCAUGUCCGAGGCUCUGUGAGGGCCAGAAUAUGAGCUGUGCUGGAGAAACGGUUACAAACACACAAGGAGAUGGCAAAUGAAAACUUCUGCCAAACUCAGGAAGCCAGCUGAGGAUGAAAAACAGCAAUACACAGACCAAGGCCAUAUUGAAUGAACAACUUUACGCUUUCACAACACUCCAAACAAGUUAGUUAAUGUUGGAAAACCCAGCCCAAGAAAUUCAAGCUGCUACUAUGAUGUAUUUUAUAGGUUGAUGUCCUGCAGGUCAGGACAACUGGUGCCCAAAGUGAGGCUGGAUAGAGUUGGGGAUCUGGGAACUUCAGUGCUCAUUAGAGGGACGGCCUGUCCAUGCAGUGAGGCGUCCAAGACAAGGUCUAUUGUGAGCCUCGGUUGGAGGAAGACCCAGCAGCCUGCCCAGCACUUGGGACUUUCGGUUCAUGAGCACCAACUACAUGGAAAAGUGAGUAGGGAAAGGCCAAGACAGCUAGAAGAGCUUGCUCAAGCUGGAACUACUGAUUCUACUCAGGAGAGAGGCUUGAUUGAAGGGCCAACAGGCCCUCAGCCAAUCAUCUCACUGUACCCUCUCCACCCAGAACAUGUGCCUUCCAGGGAAGCAUGCAUAUAUGACCAGUUAGAAGGUCCAGAUGCACCACCUUACUCUAAUGGUAUU